ensembl:snoRNA small nucleolar RNA SNORD37
GCAAGUGAUGAGAUAAAACCAUUCUUCACUUUGACCUGAUUGUCUAGUGAUGAUAACCUUGACUCUGAGC